CACGUAGGGUGCGAGCGUUGUCCGGAAUUAUUGGGCGUAAAGAGCUCGUAGGCGGCCUGUCGCGUCGACCGUGAAAACCCGCAGCUCAACUGCGGGCUUGCGGUCGGUACGGGCAGGCUAGAGUGUGGUAGGGGAGAUCGGAAUUCCUGGUGUAGCGGUGAAAUGCGCAGAUAUCAGGAGGAACACCGGUGGCGAAGGCGGAUCUCUGGGCCAUUACUGACGCUGAGGAGCGAAAGCGUGGGGAGCGAACAGG
rnacentral:rRNA from 1 species